rnacentral:rRNA from 1 species
AACCUCAGNUCNGGCGGGAUCACCCGCUGAAUUUAAGCAUAUCAAUAAGCG